rnacentral:misc_RNA from 1 species
GAUGCUCUUCACGGCCUCCCAUGGCUUGAUAGCGCGACGCUGAAAUUUGCCUCACCAUCGUGCACACUCUCUCCUUAUUUACCGUGUUUCUCCGGUACUCACGCUCCCGGGCGCUAUUCUUCAGUGCCGGGGAAGCGCCUUCUUUCACACUGCUUCCUCCCCCUCCCCCCAAAGAAACCUCCGAUCACUCACGCUCACAUACACAUAUACACGCAGCUCACAGCUGACAUUCUCUCCCGUUGCUGCUGCUGCUGAACUAUAGAGGGCUUUCACGUGUUGCAUAGCAGACGUGCUUCAGCCAUCCAUCAAACUCCAUCCCCCUCCUUUCCCCCUCCACCACCAGUGCUGCUCAAACCACUAUAGGUCAUCGGCUCAACGCCUUCGCCUUUUCAUUAUAGUGUCUGCUGACUGUUUACCUUCUUCACGUCACUGAUCUCCAGCGCACCCUUAUCCCUCGUCUCGCCUCCUUGCUUUUGUCCCCUUUCCUCUUCGUGCUUCUGCUCUUAUCCCCGCCCCCUCUGUGCCCGAUGAUGUAUCGCCCCAACGUCUGUGUCUUUCUCUUCAAUGAGAAGAUGGAGUUCCUUGGAUGCCAGCGCAUGAAGACGGAUCAUUUCCAGUGUGUGCAGGGUGGCAUCGAGGCCUGUGACGUGGACAUCCGGCUGGCGGCCCUGAGAGAGGUGGAAGAAGAGAUCGGACUGAAGCCGCAGGACCUCAUUUUUGUCCAGGAGAUUCCGCCACCGAACGGGGACCCGAUGAAGUUCGCCUACACCCUCGCCUCCAACGCCAACCUGCGCCGCUUUGGCUACGUCGGUCAGAAACAACGUAUCCUGCUCUUCUUCACCCCGUCUGAAAACAUAUCGAAAGUGGUGCUCAUCCCUCCUCCGGAGCUGCACGCCUCGCAGGAGUUCCGGAAGGUGGAGUGGAUGCCGAUCGAGCAACUCAUCGCCAAGUCGCUGCCAGAGAAAGUGCACAUUUUCAAGGCCGUCGGGGAGGUGGCGCCGGGAAUCGCUCGCGCCUUCUUGAAGAAGAGGGGCCUUCUCGCUGAGCCUCAGGGGGCGGCCAAGUAUUAGUGCCGAAAAGGAAAUCAUAAAAGUGCAAGCGAGUGAAACAUGGGUGAGCCUGCCCCGUAUUGUAUCGCUUUGGGGUCUGGCGCAUCCUUCCCUCCCUCUCCCCCUCUCCCGCCCUUCCCCUCGAGCAGCACUCGUCCUCUCUCUCUUUGUGCACUCCCUGAGGCGAAAGGGAAAAAGCGCCCAUUCAAACGGAGCGUGAAAGGAGAACCAAGCCUUGCAGAGCAUCAGAUCUAGGAAGAAAUGAAGGCGAUACCCCCUCCCCCGUUUCUCAGCAUGCAUACGCUCCCCGCCCGCAUCGUCUUGCGCACCGGAACGUGGAAAAGGGCGGAGGAAGGGGCAUUGCCUUGUGGAGCGGAUGCGCUUACACCUGAGUGUGCUUGCGAAGCCUCUGGCAUGGCACCACUACACCUCCUUUAUUCAUUCUGACUGUGAGAGUGGGGGGGCGCUUGACUCUCUGGUAUCAGGAUGCAUCAAGGCACCGGGAAGACGGCAGCUACGGUCGCAUGGCGUCCUAGCUGGACAUCUUCUCAUUUUCUGAGCGCCCUCUUUGUUUCUUCCCCCACAUACCUCUUAUCUCCUCCACUUCUCGAUCUCGCUCUCGCCGUCUUGGAUCUCUUCCAAUGCAUGCUCACACGUUCGUAUUCGCCGCUUCCCAUACGUGCACACUCACACACUCGAACACAUAAUGGUACGCAUUCAUUCACGUACCUGCGUCACUGUAUGUGUGCCUUCGCCGUGUGUGUGCGUGGCCCAUCAUCUAUCACUGCCCCCUCCCGAACAG